rnacentral:lncRNA from 1 species
CGCCGCCGGGGGUGGGAGCCGCGCUCGCCCGCCCGCCCCUCGACUCGCGAGGGCGUAAAAGUUUGUCUCAGCUCGAGCAUUCCUAGCGCCAACACGCCCUCAGGUAAAGGUGGAAGUAAAUGGCCACGCUGUAUUGACAGAGCAGGUAGAUGAAACUCAAGAGAAAAGGUGUGGAUAAAUGAAACUAGCCCAUGAUGAACCUGUUUUCUCCGUGACCACAAUAUUAACCAGGAUGAUGGCGGUGGCAGUGGGCCUGCAUCACAGGUUGCAGCAGAUGUUCUCAAUAUUUCUAUUAAAAUUUCCUUAUUUCCAUAUGCAAGAGGAGCCCCAGAGCUGCAUCCUUAUGGUAGCUACCAUGCCGUGAUGUAAGCUGCCAUUCACUGGGGAGCUUUGGCAAUAGAAUUGGCUAGAUCAGCAAGCCCAUGUCAACUAUGGAACAACAACUUGCAGCUCAUCUCUAUUGAUGAUACACUGCCUCUAGGACUGGGACAGAUAGCCACUGAGUACCUGCUUCAAAUCACCCUGCACGUUUUCUCUUUGGAAAGAUAAGCACUGGAGAACCAUCUCGUUACCUUCAGCAAAAAUGGAAACAAAUCAAGACAUUAAGAAUGCCACAGUGGACAGCAGUUAUGCAAGGUUCAGCAGAGGAAGUUUUCAAGAUGGUGUGCCUCACUAGCCAGAAAUCAGAAAAGAUCGAAGCUAGCCUUUUCAUCUCAGCUGCUCCUUAAAUCAGUGCAACCCCUCCAAAUUAAUGUGAAUUGAAACAUGCAUUGCUUUUCAACUUAAUUGAAUACUUACUAUAUGUGAACCACUGCACAAAAUAGGGGAAGAAGAUGUGGGAGACAAAGAUGUGGAGCCUGUCUUCAAUAAAUUUACAGUUAGUUUCAGGGUACAUUGUUUUUCUUCUGCUGUUAAUUAGGUGUAUCCCCAAGACAAUAAAUACAUGAAUGGAAAAGUAUAUUCUGUGUUUUAAGUCUCUUUAAUAAAAAACAAAACAAAAUCCAAAAAAACUCCUAACAUGGCAACUCAGGACAUUUUAAUCCUUUUUUUUGUUGUUGGGCUUCUGAUAGGAUCCAUUUUAUUGAUUCCAUAAAUAUUUAGUAGACUUUAGACAUAUUAAUACAUUGUAGUUUGAGUUAAUUUGCAUUAAAUUCUGUUUUUUCCCCCUUAGGUAUAGAUUGUCUGUUGGAAAAAUAUAUUGCUUGUGGAUUUCUUGGGGAGUGGGAAGGUGAAUUAUACCUGUUGUCUCUACAGUCCACUACCUUCCACGCCCUAGGGCAGUGGUCCCCAACCUUCUUGGCACCAGGGAUCAGUUUCCUGGAAAUCAAUUUUUCUGUGGAUGGUGUGGGGAUGGUUUUGGGAUGGAACUGUUCCACCUCAGAUCAUCAGGCAUUAGUUAGGCUCUCAUAACGAGUGCGCAGCCUAGAUCCCUCACAUGCACAGUUCACAGUAGGCUUUGCGCUGCUAUGAGAAUCUAAGGCUGCCACUGAUCUGACAGGAGGCAGAACUCAGGUGGCAAUGCUUACUGGCCCACUGCUCACCUCUUGCUGUGCGGCCUGGUUCCUAAUAGGCCAUGGACCCCCACAGACUGGUACUAGUCUGCAGCUUGUGGACCCCAGCCCUAGGGGCCUGCCAUUCUGAGUGAGUUAUUAGCAUGAAGAAGAGGAAGAUCUGGAUCAUACGUGGGUGAUGGUUCUCAGAGACCCAAGAUAGGAUAGGGAUGGAACAAAAUCCAUCUGGGCAACGGCUCUAUGAAAAUUUGGCUAAGUAAUUAUUUCAGUAUUCAUUGUAUUCAUUGGCCUUCGUGUUCCAUAAGUUAAAUGACUGUCUAAUUUUUCCAAAAAUUUAUUUCUGACUUGAGAAUAAGUGUGUCAUGAUUUUCCCAGUGUAAAGACACUGAUAUAACUGUAGAUACCAGACAUUUUAUGUAGUGUCUGUGACACAUUUUAGUAUGUAUGAGCCAACAAUAGACAUGUCUUUGUCUUGAGGAGUGUCCAUCUGAAUUGAAAAUGUGUCAGCUUUUUUUUAACAUCAUCAACAGACUUCUUAAUUAAGCUGCCAAUACAUACUGCCAAUAGCACUGUGUGCUGUCUGAGAAA